AAGACUAUACUUUCAGGGAUCAUUUCUAUAGUGUCUUACUAGAGAAGUGCAUUCGAAAGUGAUCGGUCGAGCGAACCACGAGGAGGAGUCAAAGUGUUCUCUUCUGAGCGCGAAGCGAGCUUGCGGGAUCCCUUUUUUGGGUUUCCUGCUUGUUAUUGAUGACCGUUCUGCUUCCUUCUUGUAAGGAAGUCAGAGGGAGAGAACACAGGCUGAGUGGU
ensembl:snoRNA U3 Small nucleolar RNA U3